rnacentral:lncRNA from 1 species
AUGACAGAGUCUUGUGAGGUGCCGGGGGAGGGUGAGGCAGGAGCAGGGAGGCCCCCACACCUCCCCUCACUGCCCAGCCACUGCCCCGAGCCUUCCCCGGGACACAACCAUUGUGAUUCUGCUUUGGCAAAAAUGCAUCGGCUGGUAGAAGUCACUGUUAGUGCAUAUUUCGAUAUAAAUGUCAAUGUUUCACCCACCGUGUCGCAGCCUGUGUGUGUGUGUCUGUGCCCAGAUGUCUCCUGCCCUGUCUCGGUCACUCCUGGAGCUCCCCAUGGGGCCGGGCAGGUGCUGCCAAACCUCCCACUGCGGGUCCUUUCCAGCUCUGGGAGUUGUGCUCAGCCAGAUCUUGCUCCUCGUUUAAUUCCUGCUUUUCCCCACUCCAUUUGGGGCUGGUUUUGUCUGUUUUUCCUCCUUUCCCCGUGCAGAUCUGGGUGCUGCACCCAAACCUGUGAGCACGGUGCUGCAGGUGAAGGGGACUGGUUUGUUCUGGCCCUCGACAGGACAUCGGCUUGUAUUGGAUUCCCGAGCGAUUUCUCCCUAAUGGCCCUGGAACAAGCAGGGAAUGCACAUCCCCACGCAAUCCCGCUCACAGCCUUCCUGCAAGAGGCGACUCGAGUUCCAUCAGAGCCGAGGAGUCGGCCGGAAUUCUGCUUCUCUUCCCGCAUGUCUGUCCCUGGGGUUGUCCCAUCUGCCGCCAGGGCCACCACCUGCACCUGGAAACAAUGGGCAGACUGUCCAAACUGUGGCAUCCUCGGGGACAGGAGGGCCCGGAGAAAUAAAGUGCACAAUAGCAGCAGUGCCUUGUGUCGUGGCGUUUGUCCCGUGGAGCAGAGCAGGAAAGCGGCGGCAGCGGUCCUGGAUGUCAGAGCCAGCCCGGGAAAGUGGCUCCGAGUGAGGGGAUUUGAAAUCAAAACCCCCAGUUGCAGACAAAUAAAAUGUGAUAGAAAGGCCACAGGGCUGGAAGCAGGAGGCUUGGCAACAGCUGGGAUGGGGGGGAUGUUUUAG